AGUGAUAGGCAAACCGAAUCGUCGAAUUUGUGAGCAUUUGAUUGAGAAUGGGACCAUAGAACCGCGGCGUACGCUCAUUGUGGGCGAUUGUUGCAGCAGUGACAUUUUGUUGGGCUUUAAUUGUGGUUUCCAAACUAUGCUCGUCGGGACGGGCGUAAA